rnacentral:rRNA from 1 species
AACUAACGCUGGCGGCGUGCCUAAUACAUGCAAGUCGAACGCGAAAGUCCUUCGGGAUGAGUAGAGUGGCGCACGGGUGAGAAACACGUGGGUAAUCUGCCCAGAAGUGGGGAAUAACUCCUCGAAAGAGGAGCUAAUACCGCAUAAGACCACGACAACUAAGGUUGUUGGGGUUAAAGGUGACCUCUGUUUACAAGUUAUCGUUUCUGGAUGAGCCUGCGCAACAUUAGCUAGUUGGUGGGGUAAUGGCCUACCAAGGCUACGAUGUUUAGAUGGUCUGUGAGGAUGAUCAACCACACUGGAACUGAGACACGGUCCAGACUACUACGGGAGGCAGCAGUAGGGAAUAUUGCUCAAUGGGGGAAACCCUGAAGCAGCAACGCCGCGUGAGUGAUGAAGGCCUUCGGGUCGUAAAGCUCUGUUGUACGGGGAGAACGUGGGUAUGGCUAACAUCCAUAUCCAGUGACGGUACCGUAUAAGAAAGGGACGGCUAAC